GGAAGCAAAACACUGAGUGCUGCUCUGGAGUCAGAGAGACCUAGGUGAAAGUCCGAGAUUCUAGUGUUUUCAGCUGUGUGACUGAGCAUUUAUCACCACUUGGCACCACACUGUGGUUAGAAGUCUGGCUUUGAAGUCACGCUGCCUGGGUUCAUGUCUUGGCUCUGACACAGUCUAGCUGGGCGACACUAGGGAUGAGUGAGAUCCCUUAUGGUUCCCUUUGACCUGCCUGAUUAGCGAUUCCACAGGAAAACACCUCCCAUGACAAAAUGAAAGUAGACUUCAAGCCACCUUCCUUCAGGCUGACUCCUGUGUAAAUGAGCUGCCUGCAGCCUGACUCACGGCAGCUCA
rnacentral:lncRNA from 1 species